GUCCCUAACCACUGAGCCAAAUUAGGUCUGGGGUCAAUCAAUUCAUAUCAAAAUAUGAAUCGAUGCGACCAACUACAACUAAACUCAACUUUGAGCCCCUUCGACCUAAUCUUAAUCAAUAAUUGAUUAGAUUCAAUUAACUGCUCACAAUCGACAAUGGGUUCUAGCCAGAUCUAAUUAAUUGACCCUAAUUGUAGUU
rnacentral:lncRNA from 1 species